rnacentral:rRNA from 1 species
GUCGAGCGGACCGACGGGAGCUUGCUCCCUUAGGUCAGCGGCGGACGGGUGAGUAACACGUGGGUAACCUGCCUGUAAGACUGGGAUAACUCCGGGAAACCGGGGCUAAUACCGGAUGCUUGAUUGAACCGCAUGGUUCAAUCAUGAAAGGCGGCUUCGGCUGCCGUUUACAGAUGGACCCGCGGCGCAUUAGCUAGUUGGUGAGGUAACGGCUCACCAAGGCGACGAUGCGUAGCCGACCUGAGAGGGUGAUCGGCCACACUGGGACUGAGACACGGCCCAGACUCCUACGGGAGGCAGCAGUAGGGAAUCUUCCGCAAUGGACGAAAGUCUGACGGAGCAACGCCGCGUGAGUGAUGAAGGUUUUCGGAUCGUAAAGCUCUGUUGUUAGGGAAGAACAAGUACCGUUCGAAUAGGGCGGUACCUUGACGGUACCUAACCAGAAAGCCACGGCUAACUACGUGCCAGCAGCCGCGGUAAUACGUAGGUGGCAAGCGUUGUCCGGAAUUAUUGGGCGUAAAGCGCGCGCAGGCGGUUUCUUAAGUCUGAUGUGAAAGCCCCCGGCUCAACCGGGGAGGGUCAUUGGAAACUGGGGAACUUGAGUGCAGAAGAGGAGAGUGGAAUUCCACGUGUAGCGGUGAUAUGCGUAGAGAUGUGGAGGAACACCAGUGGCGAAAGCGACUCUCUGGUCUGUAACUGACGCUGAGGCGCG